rnacentral:rRNA from 1 species
CNAGAACGCUUGCGGCGCACCUAACACAUGCAAGUCAGGGGGCCCAGUNNCUUCGGGGCUGGGUAACCGGCAAACGGGUGAGUAACGCGUGGGUAACCUACCCCCGGGAGGGGGAUAACCCCCCGAAAGGGGGGCUAAUACCCCAUAACGAGCCUCUUCACUAAGAAGAGGCUCCAAAGGCCCGCCUCUGCUUUGCAAGCGGGCGCCCGGGGAUGGGCCCGCGUCCCAUCAGGUAGUUGGUGGGGUAACGGCCCACCANUNUUAUNACGGGUAGCUGGCCUGAGAGGGUGGCCAGCCACAGCGGGACUGAGACACGGCCCGCACCCCUACGGGGGGCAGCAGUGGGGAAUCGUGGGCAAUGGGCGAAAGCCUGACCCCGCGACGCCGCGUGGGGGAAGAAGCCCUUCGGGGUGUAAACCCCUUUCGGGCCGGACGAAGCGGUAGGGGGUUAAGAGCCCCCUACCGUUGACGGUACGGCCGGAAGAAGGGACGGCUAACUACNUGCCAGCAGCCGCGGUAAUACGUA